rnacentral:rRNA from 1 species
GCUUAGAGAGGGGUCAAUGUCCUAUCAGCUAGUUGGUAGGGUAAUGGCCUACCAAGGCUAAGACGGGUAGCCGGCCUGAGAGGGUGGUCGGCCACACUGGGACUGAGACACUGCCCAGACUCCUACGGGAGGCUGCAGUCGAGAAUCUUUCGCAAUGCCCGAAAGGGUGACGAAGCGACGCCGCGUGUGGGAAGAAGGCCUUCGGGUUGUAAACCACAGUCGGGAGUUAAGAAAUGUAAGGGUGUUAAUAGCAUCCUUACUUGACUAAGGCUCCGGAGGAAGCCACGGCUAACUCUGUGCCAGCAGCCGCGGUAAUACAGAGGCGGCAAGCGUUGUUCGGAAUUAUUGGGCGUAAAGAGCACGUAGGCGGCUUUGUAAGUCAGUUGUGAAAGCCUUCUGCUCAACGGAAGAACAGCAUCUGAUACUGCAAGGCUAGAGUGCGGAAGGG